CCAGCCGGCCGGGCGGCCGCGCGGACGGGAGCCGAAAGGCUGUCCGCGAGGAAAGUCCGGGCUCCACGGAAAGACGGCGCCGGCUAACGGCCGGCGGGGGUGACCCCAGGGAAAGUGCCACAGAAAGGAAACCGCCCCGCCUGUAAAUCGGCUGACCGCAAGGCUCGCGCCUCGACAAUGAGCGCCUGCGCGGACAAGAGCCGAUUUAUCGGCGGGGCAAGGGUGAAAGGGUGGGGUAAGAGCCCACCGCGCGACCGGUAACGGGAGCGGCAUGGCAAACCCCGCCGGGAGCAAAACCGAAUAGGGAUGGCGCGAAGGGCAACCUUCAGGCAUUUUCCGGCCCAGCCAUCCGGGUAGGUUGCAAGAGGCGGAUGGCAACAUCCGCCCCAGAGGAAUGGCCGCCACGUUUCGAUUGCCGCAAGGCGUCGAGGCCAUACAGAACCCGGCUUACAGGCCGGCUGGCACA
rnacentral:RNase_P_RNA from 1 species